GACGAACGCUGGCGGCGUGCCUAAUACAUGCAAGUCAACCUUAGUGGCGAACGGGUGAGUAACCCGUGGGUCACCUGCCCAUCAGAAGGGGCUAACACUUGGAAACAGGUGCUAAUACCGUAUACUGAUGGAUGGACCCGCGGGUCAUUAGCUAGUUGGUGAGGUAACGGCUCACCAAGGCCACGAUGCAUAGCCGACCUGAGAGUGGGAUCGGCCACAUUGGGACUGAGACACGGCCGAAACUCCUACGGGAGGCAGCAGUAGGGAAUCUUCGGCAAUGGACGAAAGUCUGACCGAGCAACUCCGCGGGAGUGAAGAAGGUUUUCGGAUCGUAAAACUCUGUUGUUAGAGAAGCGGUAUCUAACCAGAAAGCCACGGCUAACUACGUGCCAGCAGCCGCGGUAAUUC
rnacentral:rRNA from 1 species